CUAUUAUAUAAUCUUUAUCCAUAGGUCCAAAAAAUCUAUAAACACAACACGUUAGGAAACACUUGCUCAAUUCUUUUUUUAUAAUUCAUUAUAUUAUCAAAUAUUCAAUAAUCAUCAUAUCAAACCUCUAACUCAGACACUGUUGAUUCAAAAACGAUUUUCGGUUCAUAUGUCCAAAACAUACACUUAAAAGUAGUUAGUCACUUGGAAGGGGAACAUAUUUUGCUGUUGUACUGUUAUAUAUAUGUAGACAUCAUGAUUUUUCAACAGCAAAUUGUGCCUUCAACAUCGUAUAUAUCCUCGAAUGCUCCUUCAACAAGGUUAUGCCUCAUUCUCCAAAUGACUCUGCAUUGAUGCAAAAGAAUGGAUAUGAACUUUGAUAUGUACAUAAGCUGUACAUUUAAAGUGUUUAAUAAAAACUAUCAUCUUCACUUCUCGUCUCUGCACCAUGAUGUCUCUUCUCAAAGGAAAACUCUGAUGAACUAACUCUGAUUUCAAGCUGAGAGCUUGUAGGCAAUUCUGGGACUGAGCUUGAGCCUGACUCCAUUACUUGCAUUUGAGUUUCUUCACCAGCUGCAUGGUUGCUUUUGGAAGGUGAGCCUUCAAUAUCCCAUUGUUCAUUUUCAUAGUUGGAUGUCCUAGGAGAUGUUUGUGCACUAUCACUUCUACCAGCAAGGUGUUUUUGCAGCAGAUGCAUAGGAGACAUACCAUAGGUUGGCGUUGAUGGCCUGCUUGAGAAUGGUGUGGUUGGCUUACUGUUUUUUACUUGCUUUUUGGCCGUGUUGUGCCAGUUCUUCAGU
rnacentral:sRNA from 1 species